rnacentral:rRNA from 1 species
AGUGAACGCUGGCGGUAGGCCUAACACAUGCAAGUCGAACGGCAGCACAGUAAGAGCUUGCUCUUACGGGUGGCGAGUGGCGGACGGGUGAGGAAUACAUCGGAAUCUACUUUUUCGUGGGGGAUAACGUAGGAAAACUUACGCUAAUACCGCAUACGACCUACGGGUGAAAGCAGGGGAUCUUCGGACCUUGCGCGAUUGAAUGAGCCGAUGUCGGAUUAGCUAGUUGGCGGGGUAAAGGCCCACCAAGGCGACGAUCCGUAGCUGGUCUGAGAGGAUGAUCAGCCACACUGGAACUGAGACACGGUCCAGACUCCUACGGGAGGCAGCAGUGGGGAAUAUUGGACAAUGGGCGCAAGCCUGAUCCAGCCAUACCGCGUGGGUGAAGAAGGCCUUCGGGUUGUAAAGCCCUUUUGUUGGGAAAGAAAAGCAGCAGGUUAAUACCCCGCUGUUCUGACGGUACCCAAAGAGUAAGCACCGGCUAACUUCGUG